CGUAGAAGACUAGUGUUAUUCAUCUUUAAUAGGUUUAAAGGGUACCUAGACGGUAAAAUUAGUCUAAAAUAUGAUACGGUUUUACUAGAGUUAUAUAUAAGGAGGUGAGUAUUUAAGGGAGUAGAGUUGAAAUUCAGUCAUACCUUAAGGACUGGUAAUGGCGAAAGCAACCUUUUAUCUAAUAACUGACGUUGAGGGACGAAGGCUCGGGUAGCGAACAGGAUU
rnacentral:rRNA from 1 species